GCAUAUCAAUAAGCGGAGGAAAAGAAACCAACAGGGAUUGCCUUAGUAACGGCGAGUGAAGCGGCAACAGCUCAAAUUUGAAAUCUGGCUCCUUCGGGGUCCGAGUUGUAAUUUGCAGAGGAUGCUUCGAGUUAUGGUUCCUUCCGAGUUCCCUGGAACGGGACGCCAUAGAGGGUGAGAGCCCCGUCUGGUAGGAAACCAUGCUCAUGUGAAGCUCCCUCGACGAGUCGAGUAGUUUGGGAAUGCUGCUCUAAGGGGAGGUAUACUCCUUCCAAGGCUAAAUACCGGCUAGAGACCGAUAGCGCACAAGUAGAGUGAUCGAAAGAUGAAAAGUACUUUGAAAAGAGAGUCAAACAGCACGUGAAAUUGUUAAAAGGGAAGCGCUCGCUACCAGACGUGGGUUCGGUGGUUCAACCAGGUCCAUGACCUGGGGCACUCCGCCGGCCCAGGCCAGCAUCAGCUUUCCGUCGGGGGCAAAGGCGUCGGGAAUGUGGCUCUCCUUCGGGGGAGUGUUAUAGCCCGUCGCGUCAUACCCUUCGGGGGGCUGAGGUACGCGCUCCGCAAGGAUGCUGGCGUAAUGGUAGCUAGUGACCCGUCUUGAAACACGGACCAAGGAGUCAACCUUAUGUGCGAGUGCCCGGGCGUAAAACCCCAGCGCGGAAUGAAAGUGAACGUAGGUGAGAGCUUCGGCGCAUCACCGACCGAUCCUGAUGUCCUCGGACGGAUUUGAGUGAGAGCAUAUAGGGUUGGACCCGAAAGAAGAUGAACUAUGCGUGUGUAGGGUGAAGCCAGAGGAAACUCUGGUGGAGGCUCGCAGCGGUUCUGACGUGCAAAUCGAUCGUCAAACAUGCGCAUGGGGGCGAAAGACUAAUCGAAUCUUCUGGUAGCUGGUUUCCGCCGA
rnacentral:rRNA from 2 species